rnacentral:rRNA from 1 species
UACGUAGGGUGCGAGCGUUAAUCGGAAUUACUGGGCGUAAAGCGUGCGCAGGCGGUUUUGUAAGCCAGAUGUGAAAGCCCCGGGCUUAACCUGGGAAUGGCAUUUGGGACUGCAAGGCUUGAGUGCGGCAGAGGAGACUGGAAUUCCUGGUGUAGCGGUGAAAUGCGCAGAUAUCGAGGAGGAACACCGGUGCGAAGGCGGUUCUCGUGGGCGAUGUCCUGACGCUGAGAGCGAAAGUGUGGGGAGCGGAACAG